rnacentral:rRNA from 1 species
GUACGCUACGGCAGGCCUAAUACAUGCAGUCGAACGGUGUCUUCGGACAUAGUGGCGCACGGGUGCGUAACACGUAUGCAACCUACCUUACAUUGGGGGAUAGCCUUUCGAAAGGGAGAUUAAUACCGCAUAAGACAGUAGCUGGGCAUCCAGCAGCUGUUAAAGAUUUAUCGAUGUAAGCUGGGCAUGCGUCCAAUUAGCUAGUUGGUGAGGUAAUGGCUCACCAAGGCAAUGAUUGGUAGGGGAACUGAGAGGUCAAUCCCCCACACUGGCACUGAGAUACGGGCCAGACUCCUACGGGAGGCAGCAGUAGGGAAUAUUGGGCAAUGGACGCAAGUCUGACCCAGCCAUGCCGCGUGCAGGAUGAAGGCGUUAUGCGUUGUAAACUGCUUUUAUACAGGAAGAAACGACUCUUGCGAGAGGCAUUGACGGUACUGUAUGAAUAAGCACCGGCUAACUCCGUGCC